ACUAUAAAGUAGUUCAAAGAUAUUGAUGGCUUUUUCUGUCAUGUGUGGUUUCUUUCAGUUUGUAUCUGUAUAAACUAGGAAUUGCACCACAGAUUCAAGACCUGCUCGGCAAAGUGGCUUUUACUGAGGAAGAGAUCAGUAAUAUGAGGAGCGAGCUAGAAAAGUACGGCAUUCAGAUGCCGUCUUUCAGUAAAAUUGGAGGCAUCUUGGCCAAUGAGCUGUCAGUGGAUGAAGCUGCAUUGCACGCUGCAGUGAUUGCUGUGAACGAGGCCAU